rnacentral:rRNA from 1 species
UGGAUCCAGACUUUGAUUCUGGCUCAGGAUGAACGCUAGCUACAGGCUUAACACAUGCAAGUCGAGGGGAAACGACAUCGAAAGCUUGCUUUUGAUGGGCGUCGACCGGCGCACGGGUGAGUAACGCGUAUCCAACCUGCCCACCACUUGGGGAUAACCUUGCGAAAGUAAGACUAAUACCCAAUGACGUCUCUAGAAGACAUCUGAAAGAGAUUAAAGAUUUAUCGGUGAUGGAUGGGGAUGCGUCUGAUUAGCUUGUUGGCGGGGUAACGGCCCACCAAGGCAACGAUCAGUAGGGGUUCUGAGAGGAAGGUCCCCCACAUUGGAACUGAGACACGGUCCAAACUCCUACGGGAGGCAGCAGUGAGGAAUAUUGGUCAAUGGACGAGAGUCUGAACCAGCCAAGUAGCGUGCAGGAUGACGGCCCUAUGGGUUGUAAACUGCUUUUAUAAGGGAAUAAAGUGAGUCUCGUGAGACUUUUUGCAUGUACCUUAUGAAUAAGGAUCGGCUAAUUCCGUGCCAGCAGCCGCGGUAAUACGGAAGGUCCGGGCGUUAUCCGGAUUUAUUGGG